GUUCCGCUGGCGCAAUGGUAGCGCGCAAGACUUCUAAUCUUGAGGUUGCGGGUUCGAGUCCCGCGCGGAAUG
rfam:Ophiostoma piceae TAMH 11346 chromosome Tnknown scf35, whole genome shotgun sequence.